AUUGGGGCUGCUCCUAGUACGAGAGGACCGGAGUGGACGCAUCACUGGUGUUCCAGUUGUCUCGCCAGAGGCAUUGCUGGGUAGCUAAAUGCGGAAGAGAUAAGUGCUGAAAGCAUCUAAGCACGAAACUUGCCAAGAGAUGAGUCAUCCCUGACUUUAAGUCAGUAAGGGUUGUUGUAGACUACGACGUAGAUAGGUCAGGUGUGUAAGUGUAGUGAUACAUUGAGCUAACAGAUACUAAUUGCCCGAGAGGCUUAACUAU
rnacentral:rRNA from 1 species